CACAGACAAAAAUCCAGGGAAGGGGUCAAGAUCCCAAAGGACUACCCUCACAAAAAAGGGCAAGCCCUGGGGUAGUCUGUUUGCAAAGCUGUACUUGUUUUUGCUGAAAACAAGUGUGCUUCUGUUACCUAUUUUUUUUACUUCCCAGUGGGGUGGGGAGGGUGGGGGGGUAGGGGGGGAGAAAGUCAAAACACAUGUCACCCAAUCAUUUUUCAGGAAAAGCACAGAAGGAGCAUACAACCAGCAAAACUGACAAGUACAAAAUCCAUCAGGCAUCUUGCAGGAAUGUGUGCAGUCAGCUCCCGGGAAGAACUGACGGCUCCCUGAAUUCUUGGGCUGGAUUUGGUGAGCACUAAAAGGAACCGGAUUCGUUAAACGCUGGUAGAAGUGUUUUCCAAUGGCUGCAACGGUUGGUCAACCUAACUUACACAUUCUGGUGUGGAGCCACUUUAUGCCAGGCACCGGGCCAGGUGCUGAGAGUACAUCAAUAAAUCAAGACAUCAUAACACACAGUCUUGACGGCUAAACAGAUGAAGAAGUAAAAAAUAUGUAAAUCAAGACAUCAGAACGCAUAGUCUCGGUGGCUAAACAGAUGAAGAAGCAAAAAAUGUGUAAUCUGGUUUGAAAAGUGGUGUGUGCUGCAGGUAGUGACAGCUCUUUAAAGGGGUGCAUGUUAAUUGGAUCUGCGAAAUGGAGGCCACAGAGUUGAGCUUGCCCUGCGGCUGUGAGCUCCGAUCAGUCUUCCUAAGAAGGGAGGGCCCUCCAGCUCCUCCCAUCACAUGGGAAACACGAUGAGCUGCUCCCAAAAGAAAUCAGAGAGGCAGACAAACUCACAGGGGACUAACUACAGAUGGGGUGGCUUCAACAGACGAUUAUCCUCACACAUUCUGGAAGCUGAAGUCCGAGAUCAUGGCGUGGAAAGGUUGGUUUCUCUCUCCCUGGAUGGCCGACUUUUCCUUGUGUCCUCACAUGACUGUCCCUCUGUGCAUGUCUGUGUCCUAAUCUCCUCUUCUGAUAAGGACACCAGUCAUAUGGGAUAUGGGAUUAGGACCCACCCUAACAGGCUCAUUUGAAUUUAAUCACCUCUGUAAAGACCCCAUUUCUAAAUACAGUUGAUUUCCGGGGUACUGGGGGUUAGAACGUCAACAUCGGAAUUGGAGAAAGUGGGGGCACAGUUCAGGCCGUAACAGCCCACCUCGACGGCGUCCUUGGCCAUCUCUGGUGAGACUCAUGGGACUCCUCCCCCACCUUCAGCAUCAGCGCCUGGAUACCACAUUUCCAUUUUCCAGGCGAGACAGCUGACAAGGGUAAAGCAGAACCGCCAGGGAUGAGACUCAAAGAUCCCAGAAUACAUUUUACCCUAUCGAGACCCUCAUUUUAAAAAUGAAACUGAGCCACUGCGCCCGGCUGGAGUUGUAGGUUGUUAGCCACAGUUUGCUUUCACAUGUAGCGGGUAUCGGGUUCUUGAUCCUGGCUGUUGUCUUUCCACGGCCUUGUGUUCACACUGUGUUCGGAAAGGAAGCUGUGGUCUUACAGGUCUUCACACAUCAGUGCUUUAUGUGCGCCUUACAGAUCUUCACGGAUCUGUGCUUUAUGUUGCAGGAGGUCAGUAGGUUUAGGUUGGUUGGGUCUCUUCAAAUGUGAAAAGUCCCCACAUAUCAGCCAGGCACAGGGGCUCACACCUGUAAUUCCAGCAUUUUGGGAGGCUGAGGCAGGCAGAUCACCUGAGGUGAAGAGUUUGAGAUCAGCCUGGCUAAUAUGGUGAAACUCCAUCUCUACUAAAAAUACAAAAAUUAGCUGGGCUUGCUGGCGGGCACCUGUAAUCCCACCUACUCGGGAGGCUGAGGUUGGGGAAUCGCUUGAACGCCGGAGGCAGAGAUUGCAGUGAGCGGAGAUUGUGCCAUUGUACUCCAGCCUGGGCGACACAGUGAAACUAUGUCUCAAAAAAAAAAAAAAAAACAGAAAAAGUCACCACAUAUCAAGGAAACGUGUCCCAUGAAUGGGGCCUUAAGAGCCUGCUCUUUCAUGCUGCAUGAGUCCCCUGGCCCCCAGCCCGCCCUCCUCAUCUCCCCUCAACCCAACGGCCUAGGACCCCACUGAUGCCUCAGGGCCUGGAAGCCUCUCCCGCCACACCUUCUCCUGGUCCUGGGAUGGCGAAAUGACUGCUCACAAUGUGGCCAGGAUGGAUGGAGGACAUCAUAUUGUUCCUCUAGCCCAGUAUUCUGAGAACCCGCUGGCUGUGAUUCAGAAUAAAGGAGAAAUGAGGCCUGUUUCUUGGGCAGUGGAGGUGGGGAUUUUUUUUUCUUUUUAAUUUGGAUUGAAGUUUUUAGCUGUGAGUAAUGGUUGGCUUGUGCCAGAGAAGGCGGCACCUGUGCACAAGGAUGGAGCCCAGAAGGCCUGAGCCUGGGGUUUAGGAGCCGCUGGGAGAGGCGGAGCUGCAGAAAGGAGCCACGGAGCUCCUGGGAGAGUGGGGCCCGCGUCGUCUCAAGCCAGCAGCCAACACCACCCCCGAGAUGGCUCCAGCUGGGACACAAAAGGAACCCAUGGUUGUGCCGGGAAGUGUUGCCACAGCAGAUUUCCAAGAACUGAUUCUCAAAGAGAAGCCAGGCAGGGCUCCCAGCCCUGGCUCUGGGAACGCACAGACUGGGGGCUCCUAAACCCCUGAGCGCCACAGCCUCCCCGGGGAAGCCGGACCCUGUUAGCUCGUUGCACUCGAUGGCUCCAGGCUUUUCACAUGGGCGGAAUGGAAUGAACACGUGUGGGAAUCAUGACGAGGAUUCCCAAGCCGCUUCCCAACAUGGUAAAGUUGUAGGGUAGAACAUUCCCACUGCAGACAAAGGCGUUCCUCACCCAAGCCUGAGCACACAGAUGGUUAGAAAUAGCCCAGGGCCACGUGGUGGGGGGGGGGGGGGGGCGCCUGUAGUCCCAGGAGACCAGGCAGGAGAAUCGCUUGAACCUGGGAGGUGGAGAUUGCAGUGAGCCGAGAUCAUGCCACUGCACUCCAGCCCGGGCAGCAGAGGGAGAUUCCAUCUCAAAAAAAAAAAAAAGAAAGAAAGAAAAAAAAGAAAAAAGAAAGAAAAAAAGUAGCUCAGGGCCGAAGUAGAGUGGGAGAAGGGCCCAAGGGCAGGGGUGGCCUUGGGGUCAGGAGGCAGGACUUUCAUCGUACUGCAAGCAGGGCCAGAGAGGCAGUCUAUCCACGUGCCUCCAUCUGUGUGUACUCCUGUCUCGGUCUCCAGCACGAAGCAGGUGCUUGGCCAUCAUUUUGGGGAAACUACUGCCCAUGGGGGCCUCCUAGGUUCCCAGCCAAGGUGUCUGAGCAGCUGUUUGCUUUGUGCUCUCGGCUCUAUAGGCCAAGCAGGCUAAAUCCACUUGAACUACAGUAAUUCCUUCCUCCUGUGCUGGCUGGACACCUCACUGUGACACAGCACACCCUGCGGUCUCCUUUGGACUAGGCAAAGAAGGGUCCAGAUCACCGCACAGGACCUUGUUCAUUUAGGUGACAAUGAUCUCUUGAGGGUCUACAAAGGAAGAACUGGGAAGGCAGUAUCUGGGGAGAACGUGAGCCUUAAACACAAACGACACCCAUGAUUUCCUUCAUUACUAGGUGAGACGUGCCCCACAGAACAAGGACAGGGUGCAAGGAGAGCUGACAACUGGGGCGAACCACACUGCAAGCACUGAGCUAGUCUGAUGGGGGAGGGCGGUGGGCAAGUGGGCUCUGUGAUGGCAGCGCAAGAGGGAAGACCCGGCCCCCACUCUCAUUCUUAGCUGCAUCCUGGCAAACUCAGGCCAUAGUCCAGAGGCCCCUUUCCUCCAUCCUACUGAGCAGCCAGUGGGGUUGGAGGGGGCAUGAGAUGUGGCCCCUGCCCCAAGACAGAGACAAUAACACAAACAUCUUCACACCACAGGGGGCCCUAAAUUUUUGAUCAAGCACUUUGACCACUAAGUAAAUUUUGAGUGCCUUCCUGUAAGUAGUAGGUGAAUAGUGGCCCUCAAAAAGAUAUGUUCAUGUCCCAACCUUUGGUACCUGUGAAUACAACCUUGUGUACAAUAAGGGUCUUUGGCCGGGCACGGUGGCUCACACCUGUAAUCCCAGCACUUUGAGAGGCCGAGGUGGGUGGAUCACCUGAAGUCAGGAGUUUGAGACCAGCCUGAUCAAUAUGGUGAAACCCUGUCUCUACUAAAAAUACAAAAAAAUUAGCCAGGCAUGGUGGCAUGCACCUGCAGUCUCAGCUACUAGGAAGGCUGAGACAGGAGAAUUGCUUGAACCUGGGAGUUGGAGGUUGCAGUGAGCCGAGAUUGCACCACCGCACUCCAGCUUGGGUGACAGAGCGAGACUCCGUUUCAAAAACAAACAAACAAACAAACAAAAAUAAGGGUCUUUACAAAGGUAAUUGACUUAGAGAUCUCAAGAUGAAAGCAUCCUGGAUUUAGGGUGACCCUAAAUACAAUGACUGUGUCCUUAUCAGAAGAAGAAAGGACGCAGAGGCCAGGUGCAGUGGCUCACACCUGUAAUCCCAGCACCUUGGGAGGCUGAGGCGGGUGGAUCACCUGAGAUCAGGAGUUUGAGACAAGCCUGACCAAUAUGGUGAAACCCCAUCUCUACCAAAAAUACAAAAAUUAGCUGGGCAUAAUGACAUGUGCCUGUAAUCCCAGUUACUCGAGAGGCUGAGACAGGAGAAUUGGUUGAACCGAGGAGAUGGAGGUUGCAGUGAGCCGAGAUCAUGACACUACACUCCAGCCUGGGCAACAGAGUGAGACUCCAUCUCAAAAAGGAAAAAAAAAGAAGGAGAAGAAGAGACACAGACACAGAGACACACAGGGACGAGGCCAUGAGAGACAGAAGCAGAGACUGUAGGGGUGCGGCCAUGCACCGGGGCACACUGAGGGGUGCCAGCAGCCCCUAGAAGCUGGGAGAAGCCUGGAAAAGAUAUGCCCUCAGAGCCUCCGGAAGGAACCCACCCUGCGGACACCUUGACUUCAGACUUCCAGCCUCCAGAACUGGGAGGAUAAAUCUCUGUUGUUUAAGCUACUCAGUCUGUGGUCAUUUAUUACGGCAGCCCCAGGGAAUGAACACACUGUUUGUUUAUUUGUUUGUUUGUUUGUUUUUUAGACAAUGUCUUGCUCUGUUGCCCAGGUUGGGUGCGGUGGCACAAUCAUGGCUCACUGCAGCCUCGACUUUCCAGGCUCCAGCGAUCCUCCCACCUCAGCCUUCCAAGUAGCUGAGACUACAGGCGUGCACCACCAUGCCUGGCUUGUUUUUGCAUUUUUUUGUAGAGACGAUGUCUCACCAUGUUGCCCAGGCUGGUCUUGAACUCCUGAGCUCAAGCAAUCCUCCCACCUUAGCCUCCCAUAGUGCUGGGAUUACAGGCGUGAACCACCGUGCCUGGCCAGGAAAUGAACACACUCUCAUACAAAUUUAUGCAUUUCUACAUUGAGUAGUCCAUGGUAAUAUCCUAUGUACACUAUGAAACCACAAAGCAGUUGGCAGAAAGCAAGAGGUGCAUGGGGCAAGGGGAAGAUACAAGUAAACUUCAGAGUUGUCCUGGGUACCUAGGGGCCGAAUGGUGGUGACGCAGCCAUCAGGAGCAACAGGAGGAUGGUUGGUCCCAGCAUGUUUUAUUUCUUAAGUGGACGGUGGUGCGUGGGUGUCCACGUUAUGUGAUCAUUAUUUUCAUCUUGCAAAACACCACCUCUGUUGUUGGCAAAUGAAUGAAAUCGUUCAUAAUAAAAGGUUUUUAAAAAGGGCACAAGAUUUGAGUCCAGGCAUUGAGCUCACUGUCUGCCUGUGCUGGCCUAUGGCUGAGGCAGGUCUCCAAAGUUCUCCAAGCCUCAGUUUCCUCAAUGAGCAAGCAGGGCCCGUGAUGGUGCCUCCUUUCAGCACUGGAGAAAUCAGUACCCAGGCAGGUGGGCACAUGUGAUCAGUCCGUGAGCAUCCAAGCACGUAGCUGGUCUCUAUAGCAGCUCAGUUCCUUUCCAUUAAGAGAGAAGAAUGGCUCUUUUGGCCAUAUAACCUGAUACCUUCUUAUGACAUGGCUUAUACCUUUGUGUAAAUAACUUAAACCCAGAAGGGGCUGGAAUCCUCAUAAUGCUGCUGUCUCCAUCCCUGUGGGUGGCUGAAAAACAGAUUCUCUUAGCCCCUGGCCUGUUUCUUUGCCCCUGGCCUAUUUCUCACUCUAAUAUGAACACCAGGAACUGAUAGGUGAGAAGUGCUCUCACUGCUCCCAGACACUGGAUGCUUUUCUUGCUGUGUUUUCUGUGAAUAUUUCCAAAUAAUUGGCCAGCGUCUGCAGGAUGGCAGAGGCAGCUGUGAGGAGGCCCUCAGCCUUAGUUCAUCAAGCCACCCCGGCAUCAAGAACACCUCCCUACGGCACUGCUCCCCAACUUCCAACACACCUGGGGUAAAGUCUACAGUUCACUCCACUCUUACUGGCCUUCUCUGUGGCCCUCAGAUCUGCCACACUGGUUCCUGCCCCAGGGCCCUUGUACUCAUUUCUCUCCCUGCCCAGGACACUCUGAGCCAGCCCUUCACGAGGCUGACAUCCUGCAGCCACUCAGCUCUUGGGCCAUGAAGUCACCUCUUCCAGGAGGUCAUCCUGCCAAGGAGCCCUGUCCUCUGGCUUGGCACUGUUUCUGCUCCCUGCACUGUUUGCUCACUGCUGGCCUCGGUCCCUCUUGGGGAGGGAAGCCAGGAGCCUCAGGCAUGAGGAGAUGAGCCUGGCUCUGGGAGGGGAAGGAGAGGAAAAUGACCAGGCCACCUGCCGAUUCAACCGUGGCAAACCUGUGCUGUUUUGUAAUACCAGGUGCUGAGGACACAGGGUGGGCAACGAGACACAGGUUCUGCCCUGCAGGAAGCUAAAUUCCAUGGUGAAAAAAACAGAAGGCAGGGGGCACGGUGUUCUGGCAGCAUGGGGGAAGUAGGGAGGUUUUCUUGGAAGCAGCGACUUUGAAGGUGAAACAGCAAGGAUGAGUAAGAGCUUGUCAUGUGAGCAGAGUGGGGAGAGGGCCCCUGGCAGAGGACAAGCAAGCAUGAAAGCCGGCAGGCACACGGUGUCCACUGAGGCUGGGGUCUCAUACAAUUUGGCUCUGGGUCCCUACCAAAAUCUCGUGUCAAAUUGUAAUCCCCAUGGGUCAAGGGAGGGACCUGGUGGGAAGUGAUUGGAUCAUGGGGUGGAUUUCCCCCUUGCUGUUCUCAUGAUAGUGCAUGAGUUCUCACGAGAUCUGAUGGUUUGCAAGUGUGUGGCACUUCCCCCUUUGCCCUCUCUCUCUCCUGCCACCUUGCAAAGAUGUGCCUGCUUCCCCUUCACCUUCCACCAUGACUGUAAGUUUCC
rnacentral:lncRNA from 1 species